UACGUAGGCAGCGAGCGUUGUUCGGAGUUACUGGGCGUAAAGGGUGCGUAGGUGGCGCUGUAAGUCGGGUGUGAAAUUUCGGAGCUUAACUCCGAAACUGCAUUCGAUACUGCGGUGCUUGAGGACUGGAGAGGAGACUGGAAUUCAUGGUGUAGCAGUGAAAUGCGUAGAGAUCAUGAGGAAGACCAGUGGCGAAGGCGGGUCUCUGGACAGUUCCUGACACUGAGGCACGAAGGCCAGGGGAGCAAACGGG
rnacentral:rRNA from 1 species